rnacentral:lncRNA from 1 species
CCACCUUCUCUCUUCUUUCCCGUGCUCUCUCAUCUCUCAAACUCUCUCUCUCUUCUCUCUUGUACGGAUGACACCCAAAUCCCUUUGAAACGUGACAGAUUGAGGGACUUAAGCACACCAUUGUGUUCAUGAAGCUCAGAUGAAUUGAUUGGUACCAUUUUUAGGUAAGGAAACCUUCGAUUUCACAUGAAAACCCUAGCUCUGAUUUUGUCAUUGUUCAUGCAUACGUGAAAUCUUGUGUUUCAGGGAAUUUGAAGCUUAUAGGAAGCUUAAGGAGGUCCUCACAAGUCUCGGGGUAUUUCAUUGGAAGGAAAUGGACGUCGGAGGGCUAAGAUCAACGUGUAUCUACGUAAGCCGAACUAUCGAGCUUUCUUGAGGAAAACCUAGUAAAUCUUAAGCCUUGAAACUUAUAUAACGUGAUUCUACAUGUUAUUAGCUUCAUUUUGGUACCAAUUUUGUGGAAAAUGGUGAAGAAACGAAGGAGAAUAAGCAUUUUAAAGUUUUACCCAGAAACCGGCGAAGUCGCCGGCGACCGGCGAAGUCGUCGGCGACCGGCGACUCAUCGGAGAAGAAAAGAGUAUAUUCCGUCAAGGUUGACGAAAUAUGCUAGCGCCGUCAGUCAUCUUUAACUGUUACUGUUGGGUUUUAACGGAAUAUUCCCUAGAAUAUUCCUGACGGCGUUGACUGGUGCCGUUAGUAUGCUUGUUACGUGGCCGCGCGUGGGGGCGCGUAGGGCCGUGCUCUUGCCAGCGCGUGGCGGCGCGUGAGUGGUCCAAAAAUUAUCCUAAAAAUUUGGGGAUGAUCCUGAGGUUGUGUAGGUCACUGUGGUAUAUUCAUAUACCCAAUUUGAGCUAUGUAUGAGAAGUUAUUAGUUAGUUUUAUCUAUGUGCUUUAAAAUAAUGUUUUUAUGGUUAAUUCGCAUAUAGGUGAGACUUAUCCUGAGGACGAGCGCAUUCAAGGGCGACUCGGGGGCUAUGAGGACGAGCGCAUUCAAGGGCGACUCGGGGGCUAUGACCUUUCGAC